AGCUCAAAUUCAGAAAACCGUGCUGCACCUGGGUGACCUGUUACAGGAGUGUCUCCUCUUUUCAGGGGUACCAGCUGAUACUAAACAUACUGCCACUGAGAGCCCUGACCCGAGUACUGAGAGGGGCAGGCAGGCCGAGCUGACCUCCCGGCCGGGCGCCGUGGUCUCGCAGGGAAAGGGUACGUCUCCCGGGACCCGCCGCCCUGGCGGUCCACACCUCCGCGCUUUCGGGGAUCGCCGUGGGUCUGGAGUCGAGGAGCGGACGGACAGUGGUCAGGGACCGGUCGAGGAGCGGACGGACAGUGGUCAGGGACCGGUCGAGGAGCGGACGGACAGUGGUCAGGGACCGGUCGAGGAGCGGACGGACAGUGGGACAGGGACCGGUCGAGGAGCGGACAAGGACUGGUUGAGGAGCAGACACCGACGGUGGACAGGGACUGGUUGAGGAGCAGACACAGACGGUGGACAGGGACUGGUUGAGGAGUGGACAGACAGUGGACAGGGACUGGUUGAGGAGUGGACAGACAGUGGACAGGGACCGGUCGAGGAGUGGUCGGGGACUGGUAAGGGAGUGGACAGGGACUGGUCAAGGAGUUGGUUAGACAGUGGUCUGGGACAGGAGAAGGACUGGUCAGCCAGUGGUAAGGGGCUAAUCAGCCAGUGGUCAGUGACUGUAGAGACUGGCGUCCUUGUGGCCAUCAGGCCAGAUCCUGAGCUGUCUCGUCUCCUGAGGAUCAUGUCCUGUGGAGGAGAAGUAAGCUCACUGUUGCCUGAGCCAGCCUGACCGCCUGCCCCCUGUCCCCUCCGUCUCCUGACGCCCUGCUGCUUGUUUCCUCUGCGUCCCGACAGUGGUCAUCGCAGUCGUCGUCGCCCUGUGUGUGGUGUUGCACCUGAUUGGAGGGGCUCUGUACCUGUGGAAGAGGCAGAAACGCCAGGACUCGGGUAAUUCUGACCCCCCCCAGAGUCACUCCUGCUCCCCCCUCAUGGACUUUGCAGCGCAAUGGCGACACCUUGUGGCCGUCAAGUGGUACUGCUCACCUACCGGCACUGCAGCUCAGAGUUGAGCACAAG
rnacentral:lncRNA from 1 species